UGUGUCGAAUGUCUAGCGGUUAGAACGCUGGCCUUGUAAUCCUGGGGUCUCGGGUUCGAUUCCCGGCGGUGCCA
rnacentral:tRNA from 1 species